UCCUCAUUUUGAUAACUUGAGACUGAAAAAGAAAAAGCUCAAAACCAUUUAUCUUGAGAUAACUAAAGUUGAUUUUUUCAACUUAGGGUCCAUAAGAAUCAAAAUAUUUCUCAUAUUAAUUAAUUAGCCGCUUUCACUAGUGAUGAUUAAUUGGUAACCACCUGGAGAUAUUAAACAUAAUUUGAAAGCAGAGUAUCAUCUAAAUUCUAAAAUUCUAAAUGCAAAUAAAUAAUAGCAUAUGUAAUAACUAAGUCGGUGACUGCUAGGGCAGCAAAAUUUCCAACACAUAGUUUAAAGGAUAAACUUGCAUGUACAAUGGAAAAAUGUACCAAAAGAGAACAUUGAUGAGCUACCUUCACUAUCAAUAUAAGAAUCUG
rnacentral:misc_RNA from 1 species